CGGCUAACUCCGUGCCAGCAGCCGCGGUAAUACGGAGGAUGCAAGCGUUAUCCGGAAUUAUUGGGCGUAAAGCGUCCGCAGGUGGUCUUUCAAGUCUGCUGUCAAAGACCAGAGCUUAACUCUGGGCAGGCGGUGGAAACUGAGAGACUAGAGUUCGGUAGGGGUAGCGGGUAUUCCCAGUGUAGCGGUGAAAUGCGUAGAUAUUGGGAGGAACAUCGGUGGCGAAGGCGUGCUACUGGACCGAAACUGACACUCAGGGACGAAAGCUAGGGUAG
rnacentral:rRNA from 1 species